rnacentral:rRNA from 1 species
UACGUAGGGGGCAAGCGUUGUUCGGAAUUACUGGGCGUAAAGGGCUCGUAGGUGGCCAACUAAGUCAGACGUGAAAUCCCUCGGCUUAACCGGGGAACUGCGUCUGAUACUGGAUGGCUCGAGUUCGGGAGAGGGAUGCGGAAUUCCAGGUGUAGCGGUGAAAUGCGUAGAUAUCUGGAGGAACACCGGUGGCGAAGGCGGCAUCCUGGACCGACACUGACACUGAGGAGCGAAAGCCAGGGGAGCAAACGGG